AAGCAAUAAGUAUUCAAAUCAAAAUUGGCCAAACUAUUUAAAUGUUGGUGAAUUCACAACUGUUGCACAUAUUUAUUGUGUCAUGUGAAAUCAAAUCAUGGCUCUCAAAUCAUGUCAUGUGGACUUUACAAGCAUCGUUUUUAUUUUUAACUUCUUAAAACCCCAUUUUGACUGACUGAUUUGAAUGACUCUUAUCAGUAAGUUGUACUUCGUGUAAAGUUGUGAGGCAUGUAAAGGAUUGUUGUUUUGUGUGAAGUACUGUGAGGCAUGUUGUAAUUAUUAUGGAACUAUAGAUAAUUUAAACACACACACACACACACACAAAUUUUGUUACUGUGAAAAAAAUAAAUAUUGUGGCAAGUUACUGUGGGGAAAAAGGCAAUUGGCUGAGGGACUGUAAAGAUGAAAAAAGAAACAAGAAAUAAGAAGUGUGGGACAUGGAAGGCGGUAUUUUGGUAAGCUGUGGUGGUAUUUACGUAUCCCGGGGUAGAACUCUCUAAUGUGGGAAGUAGGAGUUCCCAGUUAUCGUGAAAUAUCAACAACAACAGAGACUUCAAUGGUGGGAACACACGUCCAACCUAGAGGUUCAUCCCUGGUAGCGAGCGAGCUAACUGCUAACAAGCCGGAUAAGCAGUUUUCUAAAAAAUGAUGAGGACAAUGAACCCCACUGUUCAUAAGCCCCAUCCUGAUCAAGAACCUCGUGUUCAUCCAUGCAGACCAGGGGAUGCUGGUGUCUUCCAUGGUGACAAUGACCUGGCUGGUGGUGAUAGUAUAACUAUUCCUGGCCCUCUGAUGAGCAAUAAAAUGCAGAUUGACGACCUGGUUUAUUUCAUCCAGAGGAAAUCUCAGGAGUGUGUACAACAUGUGGAUGAACCUGAGCAAAAGGAGGCCUAUUUCUUCUGGCAGAUUAUGGAGUUGCUCUGCAUCAGAAAUGGUGUAAGUGUUGUAGUUCAUUAUGUGCUGAUUGUUUAAGCCAAAUUAUGAAUGAUAAAUGUAUCAAGAGAUUUUUAUGCAAGAAAGUAAACAUCCUCUGAAUUGUAAGUGCAUGAAUGAAUAAAUAUACCUACAAUAAAUUAAACUUAAAGGCGUUUCUUUUACUGGAUGUAAUGCUGGCUGAAGUCGCUACGCUCCUCUUCAAGGGCUAUGGUUUUCUGAAGGAAGGUAUCAAAAACUUGGUAUGGUUAAGAACCAGGAUGGUUGGUGUCUUCCUCUGGCACAACUUUUAUGCUCCGCUAAACCACAACAUGAGAACUUAAACGCUGUGGUUAAAAUGGGAGAAAAGCUUGACUCUGAAGAACUAACCUAUGAAGCACAUAUCUGCUACGUGGUGGCAAUGGAGGAGCUACAAACAUGUCAGGGAUCCAGCUUUGAUCUGAUUGGAUGUGACAGGUAUUUUGUGUGUGUGCAUGCGCGUGUGUAUUUUUCUCUUUGUACCAGUUUGCCAGUCAGUCAUUCAGCCAUGAGGGAAGCUAUCGAGAGAACUGAGGUAUAGGAAUAUGUAUGCUCUCUGACAUCAGGGCUCGCCCAACCUAACUUCCAGGUUGAAAUUUCUCUUCUUCUCUUCUUUUAAUGCAAACUGAUCCCCAAAUUUAAGUGUGAACCAUUGUACUAAGAAUAAAUGACUCUGUCUGCCUUAGACAAGUGCUAUCAUGCCAGCAGGCUAGCCAGGUCUGGACUUGUUGAUCAAGCCCUUGAUUACUGUGAGGCCGUCGCUAGAACAAUUGCCACCUUUACUCGCAAAAUCACAAAGACCACAAUGGAACGGACUAUUGGGGUGAAUACCGUCAUCGUAACUUGCGCUUAGCUCCUGGUCUGUCUGGAGGUUGCCGUGAUCUGAUAUGGUGGUGUCUGGAACAAGACCCUCACUCUCGGCCAAACUUCGAGGAAAUCCUCAGCCACAAGUGGUUUACGGGACUUCAGAGCAAAGUCAAGGUUAUGCAGCAAGAAGAGAAUAGACCUAAUUUUAAUGAGCAUAGAAUAGUCUAGAUUGCAUGGAUUGUACUGGAUCAGAAUUGAGUUCUGUAACAAGGACUGCUCUGCAUUUGUAAUUAGGGGGCCAAACAACAAAAUGCAUAGGCACACUAUAGUGAUUGUAUGUUUUCUCAUAUUUAUUUGGGGGCCAAGCACCAAAUGUGUGUAGGCAUCCUUUAGUGAUUGUAUGUUUUCUUAUUAGGGGGGCAGGCACUAUAACGUCACUUGGGAUAUAGAGGGUCCUGCCACUCCACCAUCAACAAACCUGAGAAAAGGCAUCAAAACUUCCCAGUUUACCAAAACACUCUAUGCCUAUGGACCCCCAUGAAGUUCUGGGUCAAUGACAUGACAUGCAUAUUUUUGUGUCCGAGUACAUCAUUUCCAUUUAAAAUAAUUUUAUAAAUUCAUGACAUGUAUCACUUUAUUCUAUAAAACCUAUUUAGUUUGAAUGCAUUUUCAAUACAUUUAAAUAAUAUAUAUUAUUUUAUGUUUUGGUAUCUCAAACCCCCAAAAUGUCAGGCGGUGCAACUGUCCGCACAAAUGAACAGCCUAAGAAAACUAUUAAAAAGGUGUUUAAUGAUUAAUACAUUCUAAAUAAAAUACUGUGGCAUGAUUUUAUGUUUGAACUCUUUCAAAUAAACUAAUUUCACAAACAAUAGUAGUGUCCAGCAAUUUGUUCUCAAAUGUCAGGGUGGCACAACCACAAACAUGGUGGAAUGAUGGUAUGAAGUGAAGCUAUGAAGAUGAUGUUAUGAAGUGAAGCUGUAAUAACAGUCAGCAUGAUAUUGCAUCAUCCAAAGGACCCCCAGGUGAUCUUUGUGGUGAAUGAAAAGAUUUGUACAUCUCUCUCAAAUACUGAUUAAAAAAAUAGCUACUUUCAUACAUUUUAUACUAAAAAUGAAAUGGGAUAUUAACCCUUAGUGCUAAACUAACAUUUCAAAAUGUUUUGAAAUAUUUGGUUCUUUUCAACCACAACUGAUUACAGUGUAUCUAACCAAUCUAUUGCACUUUAGUCUAUUCGAGCCAUUACAAUUUGGACUUGUCAAAGUCAAAGCUUAGAUCCUUAUGCUUGCCCAUUUUUCCGGCUUUAAACACAUCAUCUUCGAGAACUGACUGUUCACUUGCUGCCUAAUAUAUCCCACCCUGUGACAGGUGCCACUGUAAGAAGAUAAUCAAUGCUAUUCACUUCACUUGCCAGUGUUUUUAAUGUUAUGGCUGAUCUGUGUAUGUUUCUAUGUAUGUACAGUCCCCUUAGAAACUAUUGGAACAAGAAGGCCAAUUAAUUUGUUUGUACUAUACACCAAAGAUAUUUGGGUUUGAGAUCAAAAGAUGUAUAGGAGACGAGAGUUUCAGAUUUCAGCUUUUAUUUCCUGUUAUUUACAUCUAGAUGAGUUAAACAACAUAGAACCUUUUGUAUCAGACCACCCAAUUUUUAGGCAAGCAAAAGUACAGGAACAGAUAAAAUGUUGGAUUUCUUUUUACCCCUCCAAAUAUCCAGCAAGACACAUCAUUAAUUCAUUAAAGACUUGAACUCCAGUGUGAACAUUUUGUGAAUUUUUUUGCAUCACCUACUCUGUCAUCUGAGAGGAAGAUAUAACCGAGUAAAUUAAGUCUGUGCAUGUGCUGCUUACAUAUUUCAUAAGAUUAAUAAUUACUGAAUUUGGUUUUUGAUGCUGUUACUGUACUGAAAAGAUUCACUGACUCAGCUAUAUUCAGAUUUACAGGUUUAUUUGUUUAUU